GAUUAAGCUAGAAAGAGCUUAUGGUGGAUGCCUUGGCAUUCAGAGUUGAAGAAGGACGCGACCGGCUGCGAAAAGCCGUGGGGAGCUGCUAAAUAAGCGUAGAUCCGCGGAUAUCCGAAUGGGGCAACCCACCAGUGUGGAGCACUGGUAUUAUGUGGUGAAAUAAGUAGCCAUGUAAGAACAAGCAGGAGAACUGAAACAUCUUAGUACCCUGAGGAAAAGAAAUCAAAACGAGAUUCCCUUAGUAGCGGCGAGCGAAAGGGGAAGAGUCCAAACACUUAAAGUGUAAGUCUGUAGACGUUGCUUUAAGUGGGUGUAGGAUAGACUGUCUAAAAGCUACAGCUUUUGGCUGACUUAAAUUUUUUACCGAGUCGAAUGAACUGGGAAGUUCAACCGUAGGAGGUAAUAGUCCUGUAGACGUAAGGUAAAAGAAGUCAGAGAAUUAUCCAGAGUAUCACGAGACACGAGAAACCUUGUGAGAAUAUGGGAGGACCACCUUCCAAGACUAAAUACUCCUGAAUGACCGAUAGUGAACAAGUACCGUGAGGGAAAGGUGAAAAGAACCCCGGAAGGGGAGUGAAAUAGAAACUGAAACCAUAAGCUUACAACAAGUAGGAGGGCUAUUUAAAAGCCUGACUGCGUACUUUUUGUAUCACGGACCGGCGAGUUACUAAUCGUAGCGAAAGGUUAAGUCAUAGAGAUGAAGCCAGAGCGAAAGCGAGUCUGAUAAGGGCGGAAGUUAUGAUUAGUAGACCCGAAACCGAGUGAUCUAUCCAUGACCAGGGUGAAGCGAGUGUAAGAGCUUGUGGAGGCCCGAACCCACUUAUGUUGAAAAAUGAGGGGAUGAGUUGUGGAUAGGGGUGAAAGGCCAAUCGAACUCGGAGAUAGCUGGUUCUCCUCGAAAUAGCUUUAGGGCUAGCCUCGAUGUAAAAGUUAAACGGUUGUAGAGCACUGAUUGGACAAGGGGCCCAACAAGGUUACCAAAUCCAUUCAAACUCCGAAUGCCGUUUAGUGUUCAUCGGGAGUCAGACUAUGUGGGAUAAGCUUCAUAGUCGAAAGGGAAACAGCCCAGACCACCAGAUAAGGUCCCAAAGUAUAUGCUAAGUGGAAAAGGAAGUGAGAUCGCACAGACAACCAGGAUGUUGGCUUAGAAGCAGCCACUCAUUUAAAGAGUGCGUAAUAGCUCACUGGUUAAGCGGUUUUGCGCCGAAAAUGUAACGGGGCUAAAGCAUAUCACCGAAGCUGUGGAUUUAUGAUUGUAUUUAUAUAAUUGUAAGUGGUAGAGGAGCAUUGUGUACGGAACGAAGCUGUACCGUAAGGAGCAGUGGACUGUACAGAAGAGAGAAUGCCGGUAUGAGUAACGAAAAAAGGAGUGAGAAUCUCCUUCGCCGAAAGUCUAAGGAUUCCUGAGGAAGGCUCGUCCUCUCAGGGUUAGUCGGGACCUAAGCCGAGGCCGAAAGGCGUAGGUGAUGGAAAAUCUGUAAAGAUUCAGAUACCACUGUAAGUUGAUUGAGUGAAGUGGGGACGCGGCAAAGAGAGUGGAGCGUGUGACUGGAAGAGCACGUAUAAGCUAAUGAGUCAGGGUAAGGAGGCAAAUCCCUUUACCCGCUAAUGACUUUUAGUGAUGUGGAGCCAAAAGAGGCGAAGCCACUUAAUGAGUCGCCAAGAAAAACCACUAACGAGAUUUAUAGUGCCCGUACCGCAAACCGACACAGGUAGACGGGAAGAGAAUUCUAAGGCGCGCGAGAGAACCCUUGUUAAGGAACUCGGCAAAAUGACCCCGUAACUUCGGGAGAAGGGGUACCCAUUAGCAUUAGCUAGUGGGUCGCAGUGAAAAGAUCCAAGCGACUGUUUAUCAAAAACACAGGUCUCUGCUAAGUCGUAAGACGAAGUAUAGGGGCUGACGCCUGCCCGGUGCUGGAAGGUCAAGGAGAAGGCUUAGUGCUUUAGCACGAAGGUCUGAACCUAAGCCCCAGUAAACGGCGGCCGUAACUAUAACGGUCCUAAGGUAGCGAAAUUCCUUGUCGGGUAAGUUCCGACCUGCACGAAUGGCGUAACGACUUGGAUGCUGUCUCAACAAGGGACUCGGUGAAAUUAAAUUGCCUGUGAAGAUGCAGGCUACCUGCGACAGGACGGAAAGACCCCGUGGAGCUUUACUGCAGCCUGAUAUUGGGUUUUGAUGUAGAAUGUACAGGAUAGGUGGGAGACUUUGAAGCUGGCAUGCCAAUGUCAGUGGAGUCGCUGGUGGGAUACCACCCUUUCUACAGCGGAAUUCUAACUGGAGGCCAUGAACUGGUCACAGGACAUUGUCAGGCGGGCAGUUUGACUGGGGCGG
rfam:Halanaerobium saccharolyticum subsp. saccharolyticum DSM 6643, type strain:DSM 6643, WGS project CATI01000000 data, contig: rep_c219